rnacentral:SRP_RNA from 1 species
GCCUGUAGGCACAGCUCUUCAGGAGGCUGAAGCUGGAGCAUCUCUUGAGCCUGGGAGUUCUGGGCUGUAGUGUGCUAUGCCCAUCGCUAUGCCGCACUAAGUUCGGCAUCAAUAUGGUGACCUCCUGGGAGCAGGGGACCCCAGUUUGCCUAAGGAGGGGUGAACCAGCCCAGGUCAGAAAUGGAGCAGGUCAAAACUCCUUUGCUGAUCAGUAGUGGGAUCGCACCUGUGAAUAGCCACUGUACUCCAGCCUGGGCACAUAGCGAGACCUGGUCUCU